GCCAAAGGAAGUGAGGUAGAUAAUAUACAAAAGUGAAAUAAACAAUAAAAAUGAACAGUAAAUAUUACACUCACAGAAGUUCCAAAAGAAUAAAGACAUUACAAAUGUCAUAUUAUGUAUAUAUACAGUGUUGUAACGAUGUGCAAAUAGUUAAAGUACAAAAAAGGAAAAUAAAUAAACAUUAAUAUGGGUUGUAUUUACAAUGGUGUUUGUUCUUCACUGGUUGCCCUUUUCUUGUGGCAACAGGUCACAAAUCUUGCUGCUGUGAUGCACACACUGGUAUUUCACCCUGUAGAUAUGGGAGUUUAUCAAAAUUGGUUUGUUUAAGAAUUCUUUGUGGAUCUGUUUAAUCUGAGGGAAAUAUGUGUCUCUAAUAUGGUCAUACAUUUGGCAGGAGGUUAUGAAGUGCAGCUCAGUUUCCACCUCAUUUUGUGGGCAGUGUGCACAUAGCCUGUCUUCUCUUGAGAGCCAGGUCUGCCUACGGCGGCCUUUCUCAAUAGCAAGGCUAUGCUCGCUGAGUCUGUACAUAGUCAAAGCUUUCCUUAAGUUUGGGUCAGUCACAGUGGUCAGGUAUUCUGCCACUGUGUACUCUCUGUUUAGGACCAAAUAUCAUUCUAGUUUGCUCUGUUUUUUUUGUUAAUUCUUUCCAAUGUUAUAACCAUCUCAUGAUUUGGUUGGGUCUAAUUGUGUUGCUGUCCUGGGGCUCUGUGGGGUGUGUUUGUGUUUGUGAACAGAGCCCCAGGACCAGCUUGCUUAGGGGACUCUUCUCCAGGUUCAUCUCUCUGUAGGUGAUGGCUUUGUUAUGGAAGGUUUGGGAAUCACUUCCUUUUAGGUGGUUGUAGAAUUUAACGGCUCUUUUCUGGAUUUUGAUAAUUAGCGUGCAUCUCUCUCUCUCGCUCUCUCUCUCGCUCUCUCUCUCUCUCUCUCUCACUCUCUCUCUCCCUAUAUAUCCCCACCCCUAGCCCUCUCUCUCUCUCGCACUCUCUCUCCCUAUAUAUCCCCACCC
rnacentral:lncRNA from 1 species